UACGAAGGGGGCGAGCGUUGUUCGGAAUCACUGGGCGUAAAGGGCGCGUAGGCGGCCCUCUUAGUCGCGUGUGAAAGCCCCGGGCUCAACCUGGGAACGGCGCGCGAAACGGGAGGGCUGGAGUUCGGGAGAGGAGAGUGGAAUUCCCAGUGUAGAGGUGAAAUUCGUAGAUAUUGGGAAGAACACCGGUGGCGAAGGCAGCUCUCUGGACCGAGACUGACGCUGAGGCGCGAAAGCGUGGGGAGCAAACAGG
rnacentral:rRNA from 1 species